CCAUGGGUGACGAAGCCGAGAUGCUUUGUAAUUUUUUGGGAACCUCCUCGUGGGCAGCUGAAAGGUACUGUACGUACCGCUAUCCGUGCCAGCAGGCGGUAAUACGGAGGGUGCGAGCGUUAUCCGGAUUUAUUGGGUUUAAAGGGUCCGUAGGCGGGCCUGUAAGUCAGUGGUGAAAUCUCAUAGCUUAACUAUGAAACUGCCAUUGAUACUGCAGGCCUUGAGUAAAUUUGAAGUGGCUGGAAUAAGUAGUGUAGCGGUGAAAUGCAUAGAUAUUACUUAGAACACCGAUUGCGAAGGCAGGUCACUAAGAUUUAACUGACGCUGAUGGACGAAAGCGUGGGGAGCGAACAGGAUUAGAUACCCUGGUAGUCCACGCCGUAAACGAUGCUAACUCGUUUUUGGAUCUUCGGGUUCAGAGACCAAGCGAAAGUGAUAAGUUAGCCACCUGGGGAGUACGUCCGCAAGGAUGAAACUCAAAGGAAUUGACGGGGGCCCGCACAAGCGGUGGAUUAUGUGGUUUAAUUCGAUGAUACGCGAGGAACCUUACCAAGACUUAAAUGGGAAUUGACAGAUUUAGAAAUAGAUCCUCCUUCGGGCAAUUUUCAAGGUGCUGCAUGGUUGUCGUCAGCUCGUGCCGUGAGGUGUUAGGUUAAGUCCUGCAACGAGCGCAACCCCUGCCAACAGUUGCCAUCAUUCAGUUGGGGACUCUGUUGGGACUGCCUACGCAAGUAGAGAGGAAGGUGGGGAUGACGUCAAAUCAUCACGGCCCUUACGUCUUGGGCCACCACGUAAUACAAUGGCCGGUACAGAGGGCAGCUACCUGGUGACAGGAUGCGAAUCUCGAAAGCCGGUCUCAGUUCGGAUUGGAGUCUGCAACUCGACUCUAUGAAGCUGGAAUCGCUAGUAAUCGCGCAUCAGCCAUGGCGCGGUGAAUACGUUCCCGGGCCUUGUACACACCGCCCGUAAUCACUAGUGAAUUC
rnacentral:rRNA from 1 species